ACAUAUGACCACAGGGUGUGGAAAACAGGGCUUCCCGUCCGCUCAGCCGUACUUAAGCCACACGCCGGGAGGUUAGUAGUUGGGUGGGUGACCACCAGCGAAUCCCUUCUGUUGUAUGUU
rnacentral:rRNA from 1 species